CUACGGGGGGCUCCAGUGGGGAAUAUUGGGCAAUGGGCGCAAGCCUGACCCAGCAACGCCGCGUGAGGGAAGAAGGUUUUCGGAUUGUAAACCUCUGUCCUUGGGGACGAAGAAGUGACGGUAGCCAAGUAGGAAGCCACGGCUAACUACGUGCCAGCAGCCGCGGUAAUACGUAGGUGGCAAGCGUUGUCCGGAUUUACUGGGUGUAAAGGGAGCGUAGGCGGGAGCCUAAGUCAGAAGUGAAAACCAUGGGCUUAACCCAUGACUUGCUUUUGAAACCAGGCUUCUUGAGUGAAGUAGAGGUAGGCGGAAUUCCGAGUGUAGCGGUGAAAUGCGUAGAUAUUCGGAGGAACACCAGUGGCGAAGGCGGCCUACUGGGCUUUUACUGACGCUGAGGCUCGAAAGUGUGGGGAGCAAACAGGAUUAGAUACCCCCGUAGUC
rnacentral:rRNA from 1 species